AUCUAUAUUAUAGAUUUGAAACUGUUUAAUUGGUAAGAUGAAUUCAAGUCAUGGGUACAUGACUUGCCCAGUGAUUAUUAUGUUUUUUUUAACUAAGGGUAGAAUUUUAGAUGUGUUGAUAACGGUUAAUCUAAUAAAGGGUUGUUGACUUAUUAAAAGUCAAAUUAGUACGUGGCUUCCAAACCACAAUCUUAAUAGAUGGGAUGCUUUGAAUUAAAUAACUACAUAUGCACAUGAUUCCAAGUUGUGUACAAAUAUCAUAACCAUGAUGUUUAUUUAGUAAGUGGAUUAGAUUACAGUGGUAACUGGUUAAACUAUUGUCUCAAAUUAUUUAACUUGGGGUAAGCAAGUGAUUUGGGUCACUUGAUCCACAUGAAUGAAGAAGAUUUGGAUUCUGGCUAAGUAAAGCAUUAAUGGAAUCUUUGGAUCUGCUAGAAAUGAAUAUUAAUGGUCUAAUAGUUGAAUGAGAUUUUUAUCACAGGUGGCUUGAUUGUGAAUUCUAUUGGAGGUUGAUUCACAAGUUGGAAGCGAUAGUGGACUAUGAAAUUAAAGGAGUCGAGUUCGUUGGAAGUUUGUGAAAAAUAUAGAUCAGAAUCCACCUAUUUGAGUUAUCUAAUAUAUAUUAUAUAUAGAACUCAUAACGUGCAUGUUGGGUUUCAGGUAUAAUGGGAACUAGAGGUUCGCGGACUGAUGAAUGGAACAAGGUUUGGUGACAAAUCUGAGAUCGGGUAAGCAAUGUCAGUUCAUCCAUCCAUCAGGUUAUGUCGCCGGCUUAGACGGGUCAUCAUGUUUUAGUUGCCUUUUACGGCAUUCGGUAGUUUUAAAUCGUGUAAGCUUCAUGAGUCAGACGUAGUGUCUUGUUUUGUUUAUGUUCAAGUUUAGAGUUGUAAAAUGGAUUGUAAACAGGUUUUGUUACCGUAACGGUUAUCCGUAAUACGAACGGGUCAUGCCGAAAUUUUAUAAAAAUUGGAUUGGAAUAUGUAAGUUUUUAAAUGAUGGUAACUAUCAAAUGAAAGUCAUGACAUUAUAAUUGUUUCUAGAAAUUGAAGCUAAAUACAAAUGGGCCUACAUUCCGCAAAUCAUAGUAAGAUUGUUUAGAAAAUUUAUGGGCGUUACAAGUUGGUAUCAGAGCCCUGGUUUGAGGGAAUCAAGUAUGAGAAGGUAAAUACUUGAACUCAAACUUGUGUGCUCUUAUGACAAGGAACCCGUACAAUCCGAGACUCGAUCAAGAUCUAAGGGUAGAGGCAAAGGUAAGUAUGUACUUAAGUUUGUAUUUGAAGGAAACUAACAGUAUGUUAUGUGUAAGGUAAGCAUAAUUGCUUGGAGAGGAUGACCCGUGAAUGCGGUCUAGGACUGCCAUCAAGGCACGUAACAAGAUAAAUUGGUCCCAGGUACGUAAAUUUAACAUGUGGGCGCAUGAACUGGUAAUGUCAAGUUAAGGAAAAUUUAAAAUGAAAAAUAAUAAUAGAAUGGUAAUGAAGUUUUCAAAAUGUCACACGUGCCGAAACCUAAUUCUUCGGACAUAAGGUGACGAUCACACGAAGACACGAAACUAGUAUGUGGAUUGUGUACCUGGCCAGUACACAAGAAACAUAUGAUGUUCGUGAGACCUUGGUAAUUGUUACAGGUAUGUCCGUUAGAAUUAGGGAGUAGGUGGACAUGAGGGUGAAAGGAAAUGUAAGACUCUCAAGAAAUUGAAAGUACCAAACACGAAAGAGAAGUAUGAAUGAUAUGUUAGAAUCCACGAGACCGAUUCGAAACAUAGAAGGAAUGAGAAAGUAUGAAUAAUAUGCUAGAAUCCGCGAGACGGAUUCGAAACAAUGAAGGAAUGAAAGCAUGAAUGAUAUGUUAGAAUCUGCGAGACGGAUUCGAAAUAUGAAAGAAUGAAAGAAUGAAUGAUAUGUUAGAAUCCGCGAGACGGAUUCAAAACAUAGAAGGAGUGACGAAUAUGAAUGAGAUGUUUGAAUCCGUGAGACGGAUUCAAAACAUAGAAAGGAAUGGAAAGUGGAAUGUAAAGUCCGAAUUCGUAAGUAAAUGUGGAUCGAAGAGGUAAUUAUUUUAAGGCAGAUAUUGACCAAGUUAUGUUUUAAAACUUUUUACUAUAUAUAAAUAUAAUUAUGCAAAUGCAUUGUGUGCAAGAUGGUUAAGAGGGACAAAUGAGUUAUGCGGGUCAAAUGGUGCUUGCCAUUUGUACCCGGUAUUUAAUGUUUAAAAUGGUCAAGUCAUAUAUUUGUAGGUGAGCAUAAUGUAUGGUUAUGUAAUGUCACAAAUUGGAAGGAAAUAGUCAACGCAGGGCAUGGAUAACGAGUCAAUGGAUUUGACUUGCGCCAGGUAUGUAUAAAGGUUAUGCUUUUAAUAGGAUCUUUUGGCUCGACUAGAGAGUAAUGUGUCAGAAUAAGAUAACUAAUACGUAUAUGUAAGGAUGUUUUUACAAAUUAAACUUCCAAAAAGUCAAACAGAGUGAAAUAAAAAUUAAGAAGGCAAGUGAUAGAAAAAUAGAAAGAAAAUUUUUGCCCCCCCUCCCCUAAAUAAGUGAGUAUAACCGUUGAAAACGGUUGUUGUAGCAAAAUUUAGUUGGAAGAAAGAAACUUUGAAACAUGUUACGUAUUAGACAUAUUACGAAACGACUCUUGAGGGUAAGAAUGAAUGACGGGUUACGACUUAGACAAUAACUUAAGAGUGGAUGGGAAGGGUAGGUUUUGACAAGGAUACUGUAAUAAUGUAAUGCAGUCUUUACAAGUAUGCAUGAAUGGAAAAGAAGGAUGAAUGUGUACUUCGAUACGUCUGCGAUAAGUAAGAAGUGCAAGUUUGACCUUGAAAAGUCAAACUGCAAAGGUUGAUGAAAUAACCAAUAAAAUGAAAAGACUGUAUGCAAGAAAUGGAAUGCGAUAUGUUUAAAACAUAUACGAAUGGUGAAAUUAUUAGUAUAAUGAUAGUAAUAAAGCUGUUGGAAGGAUGCUCACGAGUGGGAGCAUAUUUCACGAAUGAAUGAGACCAAAUUCUGGUACGGAAGGUACCUGUAAAGAAGCGGAACGAUCCGGUUCCCAGAUCACUGAUCAACGCAAUGAGGCGAGGUACAUGCCAUUUUGGGCGCGAACUUGGUAGGCAACGGGACGGACAUAUGGAAUACGUAUCAACUACUUACGGGUCAAGGUAAGUGCUUCUGGCACUUAAUAGUUGUAUGCAGGAAUAUAGAUUUAUUGUUUGCAGGUUCUUGUACUUGUAUACGUAGAACAUCUUGUGGUUUAAUGUAGAACUUAUAUGAGAAUAUUAAAGUAUGAAAUGUUAAAUUGGAGGCAU